GUUGAACGCUGGCGGCGUGCCUAAUACAUGCAAGUCGAGCGAACGGACGAGAAGCUUGCUUCUCUGAUGUUAGCGGCGGACGGGUGAGUAACACGUGGAUAACCUACCUAUAAGACUGGGAUAACUUCGGGAAACCGGAGCUAAUACCGGAUGAUAUUUUGAACCGCAUGGUUCAAAAGUGAAAGACGGUCUUGCUGUCACUUAUAGAUGGAUCCGCGCUGCAUUAGCUAGUUGGUAAGGUAACGGCUUACCAAGGCAACGAUGCAUAGCCGACCUGAGAGGGUGAUCGGCCACACUGGAACUGAGACACGGUCCAGACUCCUACGGGAGGCAGCAGUAGGGAAUCUUCCGCAAUGGGCGAAAGCCUGACGGAGCAACGCCGCGUGAGUGAUGAAGGUCUUCGGAUCGUAAAACUCCGUUAUUAGGGAAGAACAUAUGUGUAAGUAACUGUGCACAUCUUGACGGUACCUAAUCAGAAAGCCACGGCUAACUACGUG
rnacentral:rRNA from 1 species